rnacentral:rRNA from 1 species
GACGAACGCUGGCGGCGUGCUUAACACAUGCAAGUCGAACGGAAAGGCCCUGCUUUUGUGGGGUGCUCGAGUGGCGAACGGGUGAGUAACACGUGAGUAACCUGCCCUUGACUUUGGGAUAACUUCAGGAAACUGGGGCUAAUACCGGAUAGGAGCUCCUGCUGCAUGGUGGGGGUUGGAAAGUUUCGGCGGUUGGGGAUGGACUCGCGGCUUAUCAGCUUGUUGGUGGGGUAGUGGCUUACCAAGGCUUUGACGGGUAGCCGGCCUGAGAGGGUGACCGGCCACAUUGGGACUGAGACACGGCGCAGACUCCUACGGGAGGCAGCAGUGGGGAAUAUUGCACAAUGGGCGGAAGCCUGAUGCAGCAGCGCCGCGUGCGGGAUGACGGCCUUCGGGUUGUAAACCGCUUUCGCCUGUGACGAAGCGUGAGUGACGGUAAUGGGUAAAGAAGCACCGGCUAACUACGUG